GAGAAACCGAAAACGAAAGAAAACAAAAGCAGAGAAAGAAAGAAGGAAAAGAGAAAAGGGGGAGGAAGAAGUGGGUGCACUACGUUGAAGCCAUAGCUAUAACUGUUGAGGAAUUCUAAGCACUAAUUGUCUUUUACGGAUUGAUUGGAGGAAUUUGUACGAGUUGCUUGAGGUGAAACAGUUGGUAUUUUGGCACGAGUACUAUUGAUUGGAGGAAUUUGUACAAGUUGCUUGAGGUGAAGCAGUUGGUAUUUCGGCACGAGUACUAGACAGCAGUUGACGCGGGCGAGGAUUUCGUUAAUUAGAG